GACGAACCGAGCGAACGUUGUUCGGAAUCACUGGGCUUAAAGGGCGCGUAGGCGGGUGCUCAAGUCCGGGGUGAAAUCCUGGAGCUCAACUCCAGAACUGCCUUCGAUACUGGAGAGCUUGAGUCCGGGAGAGGUGAGUGGAACUGCGAGUGUAGAGGUGAAAUUCGUAGAUAUUCGCAAGAACACCAGUGGCGAAGGCGGCUCACUGGCCCGGUACUGACGCUGAGGUGCGAAAGCGUGGGGAGCAAACAGG
rnacentral:rRNA from 1 species